GACGUAGGGUGCAAGCGUUGUCCGGAUUUAUUGGGCGUAAAGAGCUCGUAGGCGGCUCGUCGCGUCGGCCGUGAAAACCUAGGGCUUAACCCUGGGCUUGCGGUCGAUACGGGCGGGCUAGAGUUCGGUAGGGGAGACUGGAAUUCCUGGUGUAGCGGUGAAAUGCGCAGAUAUCAGGAGGAACACCGGUGGCGAAGGCGGGUCUCUGGGCAGUAACUGACGCUGAGGAGCGAAAGCGUGGGGAGCGAACAGG
rnacentral:rRNA from 1 species